rnacentral:lncRNA from 1 species
CCAAUGGUGACAGCGUAGAAAAGGUUGCAUUGAUCUUAAUGGCUGAUGUAAAAUUACAAGACAGUGGAAAAAAACUGCUCAUCAUGCUGAUCUGCACAAUGCUGGCUUCAUCGGAACUGUUAUUGAACAUAGGACUACAUAGUGUUAAAAGACUUUUCCCUUAAGGAAAUUUGUAGCUGUGGACUUUCUUUAGAUGACUCUUGUAUCGUAAAUAUUUUCCUGCUUCGGGUUUGACGAGAAAGCCAAUAACUUAAGCGAAAUCCGUGUUCAAUUUUUGAUAAAGCCGUUUGAUUUUUUUCCCUCUUAAACCUAUCGGGAAGUUCGCGAACACCGAAAGCUGUUGAGUCAAAUAAUUGAAAGAAAAGCCAAAAAAAUAAAAAUAUCAAGUACACUUAUCUGGCCGAUAGAUGGCAUGAGCUUUGCAUGUCUGUCUUCCGACCACUUGAUGGAUUAGUUUUGAUAAUGUAGUUAUUUAUUCACGAUCACAGAUAACAGGUCACUUCCAAAUGCGUUUCGUCCUUAUCUGAUUAUUGACGAUUGCAUUUGAAAAUUAAAAAAAUGGCAUUACAGCGAAGCGAAAUAAUUCCGGCUUUUGCUUGAGUGACCAGUAUCACCGACUUGUACGUGAGGAUUCCGUAACAUCCGUUCUUGACUACACGAAAUGAAAAGCAAAUUAAUAUUACAUUGCGAAACUGGCUAAUGUCUUGUUUGAAUAGAAAACAACAGGAAAUCUACGAUGCGUGUAAACUAGGAUGCGCCCCACCCUUUUUUUUUUUUUUUUUAAGAAAAAGGAAAAAAAAGUGAUAAAGUUCGCCAGUCCAACAGGAAUUUUGUGCCAUCUGUUGUGUCGCCAAACAUACCGAAGCCUUAUCAAAGAGUCAAAUAGAUUAAGUGCAUCAUAUGUAUACCAACUCGUGGAGUCAACCAGUUUUUUUUUUUUUCUGCAAAAAAGGAGAAACCUUUUAGGUUACUUUCACACAGUUCCAGACAUCCAGCGGCAUUCUCCUCCUCCCUCUUAUUAUUCAUUUUUUUUUCCCCCCCACUCAACAAAUAAAAACGUGUUUGCACGAAUUCCGGGUUCGGUUAUUGAUUGAUAACACGAACGAAUAUCCCGACUUUGUUGUGCUGAAUUUUUUUUGUUCAAAAUUCUUUCGUAAUUAGUUGUUGUUCGUGUUGUUGCUGUUGCUGUUGGUCCUUUUCAUUUGAAGGCAUCGCAACUGCUACAUCAGGAACUGCAUCAUUUUCCUAUUUUUAUCUCGGCGAGUAUCAUUUUCACGGCUGCUGCGCAUGGAUUCAAACGUCGUUAAAUUCGAUCCGUUGCCUAUCUUUUUCUAAAACAUUCAAAGAAAAUGAAAAACAUUUCUAGGAAAAGUGACGGGGCAUAUAUUAUGAGUGGCAGGUCUUAAUAAACCAGUGCACAGAAACAGGAGCUCGAGGCGUCCGUUUCUGUGGCAGCAGUGGCCAAAGAGUGUCGAUGAUUGCAUUCGAGCAGCUUUUCAUGGCAGCGCGAGAAACUCGCCAGUUUCUCUCUUUGAAAAUCAUCCAAGCACGAGCUUCUGUCUGCUUUGAUUAGAUCAUUUCAAAUGGGAAAUAUAGGCCAGAAAACAGUAGUACAUAUUUGGAAAAGCCGCACUUAAGGAUGACUGCUGUUUGGGCCUCGCUAUAUCUACGCGCAUAACAUUUACCGUCUGAAUGUAGUAUAGUUGAUACAUCAAAACUACGGCUGUCAGUCUAAUGGUCUUAAUCUCUUGCGCUGACGUAUAGGCUCCAUAAAUGUUCUCAGCUUGCGAAAUGCAGGUCGUUGCAUUUUUUUUUUUUUUUUUUUAUAACUUUGACACCGAAAAGAUUAUUACCUGGAUGAUUAUCUUAUCCGGAAUUUGUGUUUUCCUCGUUUCCUUUUCUGCACAAAGUAAGCUAAAAAUCUACUGCGUUUAUAGCAUUCAUUUUCUUCUAUUACCUAAAAAGAAAAAAAAAUUAAAAAAAACAGUAAAUAAAUAAUGGAUAAAAUGCUGCAGCGCGUAAAAUCUUUUGAAUUUUUAUUUCACAUUUUUAUUUGGUUGUGGGUCGACUGAAAACAAUAAACAUGAGCUCUGUCAUCACGUAGCGGCUCACCGGGAGCGAUCGUGGCAAAUGAUGAUGACGGCCGUCAUCAUCAUCAUCCUGAUGCCUUCCUGAAGGAUGGAGAUGCAUAUGGACCAUCGUCGAGUUCGUCAUCAUUUUCAUUUAUUUAUUUUUAAUUUAUUUUUUCAUUUUUUUUUUUUUCGUUUGUAUGUUUUUAAUUCUUUUAAUUCUCCCGCCAUUCCCGUACUUCGUUUGGUAUAGAAACGCAAAAAGCUCCCGCUGUUGCAUGACCUCAUCUUCUUCUGGCUGGGGGCGCGGCCUGUUCCAUUCGUUCCGUCAUUACGCACGUCCAGCAAUAAGUAAAAGGAGAAAUAUGACGGUACUAAGCGUUCCAAGUAGCGCACGCUUUUUGUUGAUUAAAAACAAAACGGGAAAGAAGAAAUGAAAGAAAACCUUUCAAGUAGACGCACGGCGAUGAACGAAUGCGGCAAAAAUCGGGCAAAACUGGAAAUGGCAGUCAGCAGUCGGUAGUGGCUGCGCUGCUUCGUGCAUUAAAGGGACGUCAGUUGCAUUGAGAGAAACGGAUAGAAACGAGAUAGGACAAGUCAAGCGCCAGAGACAAACAGACUUUUUUAAUCAGUCAAAGGAAAUCCAUGUUUGCCAAUCAUUUCCUUUGCGUUUUGCUCUCUGGCCGCGUCACUCUUUUCGAGCGACAAGUGGAAAAACAGGUCCAAAAAGAUAAAUGCAUUUUUUAACAAUCAAAGCCAGUUUCACGUUUCGAAUGGCAUUAGGCAAAACUACGGUGAAUUUUAGAUUUCUUCAUCCGCAAAGGGGACGCGGUCAGACCUUUUGCCCUUGACCACUAAUAUAUGCUGCCCGAAAGUUUAACGAGAGAAUAAUACCAAAUAUGUUGCUCAGCACAAGGCGCGCGUACCAAUAAAAAUGCGAAUCGGAAUUUCUAUUUGACGCAUCUAUAUAUUUUUGUUGUAUUCUCUUUUUAUAGGAAUCCCCAGAAAUAUAUUGUAUAAAAAGAUA